UAGUUUUAGAAAAAAUAGUUUCCCAAAACUUAAAAAGUGUACAGGUACCAAAACAAACCACAUAAGCAUUAUAGUAUCUCCAAACCAUUGCUAGUAAUUAAAUUUACGUUAGAUAACAAAUAGAUAUUUAAUAAAUUAACGUACAUUAUAAGAUAGGAGUGUCACUAGAUUGGUAAUGGGGAAAUAAUAGCACAGAUCACACGUAUAAAAGUACCACCUGUCUUAAUAAUGGUAUUCAGUUGAUCCCAAGCAACAGAAGUAAAAAAUGAAAGCCGCAUUUCUGAUUACCUUUAUAUUGGCUAUUUUCGCUUUGGCCGUAGCGAAUCCAUCACCAAAUCCUAACCCAAUGCCUAGACCAAGACCUCAAUACUGGAACUACGGUUAUGGAAUGGGAAUGCCAUACUACGGUUUAGGUUAUGGUCAUGGAUACUACUUCUAACCGAAACUGUCAUACGUUAUAUAAUCUUUGCACCCUAAUAAACCAGGUUUAAA